rnacentral:rRNA from 1 species
CGCGUAGGUGGUUAGGUAAGCGAGAUGUGAAAGCCCCGGGCUUAACCUGGAAACGGCAUUUCGAACUGUCUGACUAGAGUAUGGUAGAGGGUAGUGGAAUUUCCUGUGUAGCGGUGAAAUGCGUAGAUAUAGGAAGGAACACCAGUGGCGAAGGCGGCUACCUGGACCAAUACUGACACUGAGGUGCGAAAGCGUGGGGAGCAAACA